rnacentral:rRNA from 1 species
CAGUAGCCGCGGGAACACGGAGGGUGCAAGCGUUAAUCGGAAUUACUGGGCGUAAAGCGUGCGUAGGCGGUUCGUUAAGUCUGUUGUGAAAGCCCCGGGCUCAACCUGGGAAUGGCAAUGGAUACUGGCGAGCUAGAGUGUGUCAGAGGAUGGUGGAAUUCCCGGUGUAGCGGUGAAAUGCGUAGAGAUCGGGAGGAACAUCAGUGGCGAAGGCGGCCAUCUGGGACAACACUGACGCUGAGGCACGAAAGCGUGGGGAGCAAACAGGAUUAGAGACCCCCGUAGUCCCUGUCUCUUAUAC